UACAGGGGGGGGCAAGCGUUGUUCGGAAUUACUGGGCGUAAAGGGCUCGUAGGCGGCCAACUAAGUCACACGUGAAAUCCCCAGGCUUAACCUGGGAACUGCGUGUGAUACUGGAUGGCUUGAAUCCGGGAGAGGGAUGCAGAAUUCCAGGUGUAGCGGUGAAAUGCGUAGAUAUCUGGAGGAAUACCGGUGGCGAAGGCGGCAUCCUGGACCGGCAUUGACGCUGAUGAGCGAAAGCUAGGGGAGCAAACGGG
rnacentral:rRNA from 1 species